UCAUUUUGUCGUUACAGAUUUAGUUAUCGGGGCCACAUGUUGCGGGUAGAGUCGUUGUGGUUGCUGAGAAAGCGGUUUGGAGCUGAGCUUGCGGCUGCCGCAGUUGCGGGCCGAGCGAAAGUGAGUUGUGAUGCGUUUUAGAGCUUUCGAGUUUCGACACUCGAGAAUUUCUCUUUUGAGGU